CCAGAAUACGAGGGGCUGCGUGCCUCCGA
rnacentral:sRNA from 1 species